ensembl:lncRNA
ACUGACACUUUACAGCUUCUUGAUUUUUGUUGGGCAAAAUGACAAGCAGUACAGUCCACACUAUUUACAUAUGUAAGAUGGCCUCGCUUGUCUGCUUAUCCAUUCAUGAAGCUUCUGUCACGGUUCAUCCCUGAAUCAGUCAGUCACGGCGGUGGUGGUGUUGUUGCUGCUGAGGGCCUGCUCUAGCAGGGCUCGCUGGGCGGAGGCAGGCAGGUAGAGGAAGGAGUAGACCAGCGCCAGCAGCAGCAGAGCCAGCAGCAAAAGGAGACCCCAGUCCGACGUAAUUAUAGGCUCAUCACAGCGAGCCUGCAAAAAUGACUUAUUAUGCAUGGUGGAGAGGCGGCUUAAAAUACUCACGGCAGUCUCAGAAAGUAAUCCUACAGAAAUAAAUGCAAGGUCAGAAAAAUUACACCUCUCAGAGUUGGAAAAAAAUGAAUACCGCUUAUAUAAGCUGUGUCCUUCACGCUUUAUCCAAAUGAUAUAAAAUAAACGGUAUCUAGACAGCCUGCCUUGUCACGUCUCUGGGCAAAAAAAAAAAAAAAUCAGUUUGAGAAAAGACCUGUAAAAAUGUUCGUAUUAUGGCCGGCAAAGACUUUUGCACCAAACUCAAAGUGGUGCAGAAAAGAUCAAAACAGUUCUAAAAAGAAAAAAUACAUCCAAGAUAGAGAAAGCUGGUUAGAAAUUAAGCAAAUCCAGAGCAACAAGGAAUCUUUAGAUAUCUUUUUUCACACAAUCCACAGUAAGGAUGCUGAAAAACUUCCUCUUACAAUAUCAGUAUUGAUGCUUGCCUCCUGCACAGUAUCUGCCAGCUCAUCCUCUCUCUGACUGAAGCCUUUGUGUUAGUGCCACGUGCAUCUGUGUGUAAGCAUGUGUGCCUUCUUAUCGGAGUGCAUGAUCUGCUAUGACAUGUUACGAAACAAUAACCAGAAAAACAGCAUCACAGCAGCACGACUGUAUCCAAUUCUCCAGCAUUUGACUCAACGCACACACCAAUUAUAUAAUAAGUCUUCAUCCUCUUAGCUCAACACACAUUAUUACCUGUCUGCGUUCAGGGAUUACUCUCUGGAAGAGCCUGUGCUUUAUUCAACCAAUGUGUUUCAGCACGUAAUGUUCCAAAGAGUCUUCACUUACUAUAUUAGCUUUGGACCCGUGAGGAGGUCAAAGCGUGACAAGAUGGAGAAACGUUUUCUUCACCCCAUCUCUGAAUCUGAGCCCUUUGUCUUCGUCCUCUCGCACGUCCUUGCUCAGGUGCCCUCCAAUGCCCCUGGAUGUGCCAGGGCAGACUUGAACAAAGCGCAUAAACAAAACGUGGCAUUUCAUUA